rnacentral:rRNA from 1 species
AUUGAACGCUAGCGGGAUGCUUUACACAUGCAAGUCGAACGAGUGGCGGACGGGUGAGUAAUAUAUCGGAACGUGCCCAGUAGCGGGGGAUAACUACUCGAAAGAGUAGCUAAUACCGCAUACCAUUAGAGCUGCCCAUAUCGGAUUAGCUAGUUGGUGGGGUAAAGGCUCACCAAGGCAACGAUCCUUGGCUGGUUUGAGAGGACGACCAGCAACUCGGUAACUGUGCACCGGCCAAGAUUCCAACGGGAGGAAGCAGUGGGAAAUUUUGGAAAAUGGGGGAAACCCUGAGCCAGCCAGCCCGGGUGUAUGAGAAGGCCUUGGGUUUGUAAAGAACUUUUGGCAGAGAAACGGUAUCUGCAGAAUAAGCACCGGCUAACUACGUGCCAGCGGCCGCGGUAAUC